rnacentral:lncRNA from 1 species
AUGGCGACGAGUCACCUCCAGCAGGAUGGAACUGAUGUGCUAUCACCUUGCAUAGACUUCGGUGUCAGAAUCACAGUUGGAGUUUUGAUGGAUCUGGGAGAUCUCUUUCUGAGUGUCUUCGCGCGGUGUGAUGAAAACUAUGACAAGUGCCGCCAAGGGCCAUCCGGGGGAAAGCGGGCUCCUGAUGGCACCGUGGCACAUCCCCAGGGACCUUGUUCACCAGAUCUGGACGCAUGUGACUCUUAG